rnacentral:misc_RNA from 1 species
UCCGGCUUAUCACCGGCAGUUUCUUUAGAGUGCCCAACUAAAUGGUGGCAACUAAAGACGAGGGUUGCGCUCGUUGCGGGACUUAACCCAACAUCUCACGACACGAGCUGACGACAGCCAUGCAGCACCUGUGUUCCGAUUCCCCUUCGGGCACUCCCACCUUUCAGCAGGAUUCCGGACAUGUCAAGGGUAGGUAAGGUUGUUCGCGUUGCAUCGAAUUAAUCCACAUCAUCCACCGCUUGUGCGGGUCCCCGUCAAUUCCUUUGAGUUUUAAUCUUGCGACCGUACUCCCCAGGCGGUCAACUUCACGCGUUAGCUGCGGUACUGAGAAAUUGCUCCCCCAACACAUAGUUGACAUCGUUUAGGGCGUGGACUAC